CAGCUGUGUACCAUAUCUCCCAUUAUGAUGUGAUCAUUCAACGGAAUGCCACCAAUUCUCUAGCUCUUGAUGUGUGUAUAUGGAAAAGAUCUGGGUUCAGAGAGUCCUGUUCUGAAGUUUUCAUGAGCCAACUAAAAGACUUAAACUAUGAAGAUUUUUGAGAGAAGCCAACUUUGAACUCUUAAACAUUCAGUUGCCUCGGUUGGGCAAUCCACAAACAGAAAUGAGAAGAUGGAGACAUGUUGGAUUCUUUUAUGGAUCCAAAUUUUAUGGAUCCAAGGGUAGCCCAAGGGAACUUGAACAAAGGACAAUAGCUCCUUGAGAUUUUACUUCCUAGAAUCUGUGAUUCACAAUACCACCUCUAGGUGGCAGGAAUGUACUAUGAAGCUAUGAAGUCACUUGCUUGUCAAACUUAUUCUCGUUUUAAGAGCACGAAAGCAAUAAGGCUAAAGACAGAUGCAAAGGAACAUUUUUUAUUGAUUAGUUCUCUGGCUCGACAACUCAGUGGCAUUCUCUCCUGAGCUGGAACAGGCUGGAGGGAGGCAAAGAAUACCAAUAACAUUAUAGAGCAGGCAGCAAACAACAUUUGCAUGGAAAUCAAUAAAGCUAACAUUACCUUCGGGUGCAUCAAAAGGGCCCUAAUGCCUAGGACACAGGAGUUAAUAGUGCCUGGAUACUGGUCAGGCCAAACCUAGAUGUGAGGAGGAAAUUUGGUUCUCUCACUCCGUUAUUGAUGCAGACACAGGAAACAAAGACGAGGAACAGUAUGGACUGUCUCCAGUCUGGAAGCCUAAAGGCUCUGCAAGCAGACACCACAGCCCAACAAGAGGAAAGACUUCAGGAGCAACUCUGCCCCUCCAGCUCCAGGUCCCCUUUGGAUUUCUCUGGCCUGGAGCACAGACCUUGUAAGAAGAGAUGCUUGUCUUCUGUGGACUCAGCCAGUGAUCCCUCAACUUCAAGAGUGGAAAACCAGGGAACAAGAAGGUGAAUGCCGUCUGGGGGAGAAUUCUGUGGCAACAGCUCCCCAGAACCUGUUUCUGAAGGCUCCUGCUAUCUUGUAUGCCUACAGAGAAAAUGAAUUCCCCCUUCCUCCGCAUUCCAUCCAGGAGACUCAGUCACCUUCAGAGCUUCCCUCUGACUCCAGUGACUUAGACCUGGAUGCAAUCCUCCUCGAGCUACUCCCAGAUGCUUAUCCAUCUGCCAUGCCUUAUGAACCUUCACAGGAUGAUCAGUAGGAAGACAUAUUCCCUCUGCUCUCCUGGGAUCCCUGUGGCAAUAGUGGAACUCAAACAAAAGGGCACAUGGUUGGGUUAAUUUCCCCAUUCAUUAAAAAUAUAUUAUUUGUUAUUUAUUUAUAUAUUUAUAACUAUGUUU
ensembl:lncRNA